GUCGCAGUAGCUGCCUCACAGCCCGGUUUUUCCGGGUCCCGGCGGGGCAGGGCCACGCUCACAGCCCGGGCGGCACCAUGAAGUCUCUAAAGAAGGAGUCCCGCCUUAGAAUACCUACGAACAGAAUCUUGGAGUCCCCAGAGAGCGUGAAAGAAAAGAAGCGGGCAAAGAUACCUGAACAGCCCACACCACCCAUUCAGGAAGAACCUGAACCUGUUAGCAAUGUCCUACAAGGAGAUGACAUUCGUGCCUUAGCCAUUAAGAAGGAAGACUUGAGGAAGCAACAUAUUCCUCACCUUAUUGAAACAGAAGAUAAACCUGCAAUUACCCAGAAACUUAUCAUCCGUAAACUCAAACCCAAGGAUCAUAGGAAGAAGAUCUGCCACUUAGUAGCACAUCCUGCUACUCCAGAUGCAGCCACGAAGCCCCUGGACUACUCUGGGCCAGGUGACAUCCUCCAUGGCAGUGACCAGAUCCUGCCCCACCACAUCUUGGGGAGUCUCCAGGACUUUAAGAGGAUUGCAGUUGCUCGAGGGAACACCCAGCUGGCUGAGCUGAUACACACCCCACCCUGUCUGAUGACCCUCAUCUCAGCUAAAGAAGAGCCGAAGCAGGAAGCCCCCAAAGGAGAGAAGGCACAUCCUCCCUGGGCCCCACCUCUUCAGCACAACUUUCUGAAAAACUGGCAGCGCAACAUAGCCCUUCGGAAGAAGCAGCAGGAAACCCUCAGUGAACGGCUGAAGAAGCCAGUCGGCGAGCUGCUGAUGCACACGGGCGAGACCUACAGAAAGAUCCAGGAGGAACGGGAGCUCCUUGACCGAACACUGCCAGCACGGCCUGAUGGGAAGGGCUGUGAAUUGACCAGUGGGUUCUGGAGUCAACCGGAAUACUUGGGAGAUGAAAUGACGGGUCUGGUAAUGACGAAGACAAAAACUCAGCGUGGCCUCGUGGAACCAGUCACUCACAUCAGGAAGCCCCGCUCCAUCCAGGUGGAGAUGGGAUUGCCAGCCCAGAAGGAUGCUUGGUACCGCUACACCUGGGAUCGGAGUCUGUUUCUGAUCUACCGACGCAAGGAACUACAGAGCGUCAUGGCAGAGCUGGAUUUUAGCCAGCAGGAUAUUGAUGGCCUGGAGGUGGUGGGCAAAGGGCGGCCUUUCUCCACUGUUACGGUGGAAGAAUAUUCAGUGUUUGAAAGGAGCCAGGAAAGCUCCUCUGAAGACACAGUGCACUUAGACUUAUUGGCCAAUUACCCUGAUGAGGUCCCUAUGCCUAUUCUUGGCCCUUCUCUGCUGUUCUGUGGGAAGCCAGCUUGCUGGAUCCGAGGCAGUAACCCAGAGGACAAGAGGCAUGUUGGAAUUGCUGUCCGCUUGACCUUUGAAACUCUAGAAGGGGAGAAAGCAUCUUCAGAACUGACCGUGGUCAAUAAUGGCACAGUGGCCAUUUGGUAUGACUGGCGGCGGAGGUCCCAGCUGGACUCUUUCCAAGACCUGAAGAGGAAUAGGAUGCAGCGGUUUUACUUCAACAAUCGGGAAGGUGUGAUUCUGCCUGGAGAAACUAGAAACUUUACCUUCUUCUUUAAGUCUUUGAAUGCUGGGAUCUUCAGGGAGUGUUGGGAGUUUGGAACCCACCCCACCCUAUUAGGAGGCGCUCUCCUGCAGGUCAAUCUCCAUGCAGUCUCCCUGACCCAGGACAUUUUUAGGGAUGAGAGGAAGUUAUUGGAGAACAAGCUGGCUUCCCACGAAGCAGUCACCAUCGUGGAGAGCAUGCUACAGGAGCUGCUGAGGGGGAUCCUGACCCCGGAGCGUGCACAGUCACCUGUGGACGCCUAUCUCACCGAGGAGGACUUGUUCCACCAUAGAAAUCCUCGGCUGCAUUACCAGCACCAAGUGGUGCAAAACCUGCACAGACUGUGGUGCCAGUACACCAUCCUGCCCCCCAAGGCUGAGGAGGCCAGGCCGGGCAAGGAGGAGCACCUCAGUCCCAGGGCCCAGGCUGCUGCGGCCCCGUCAGCCUAUUGGGAGGAGGCCUCGAUGAAGGUCAAGUCUUCUGUGCACCUUAAGAGCCCAGCGUUGGACCCCCAACUGCCCCGGCAGGAGAGUGAGGCCCUCAGGGAUUCCCGAAAUCCUGUUGGGUCCCAGAAGACUGGUCUGGGUUCUCAGCAGAAGAGCAUCAUGGAGGAGAUCCUGGUGGAGGGGAGCCCAGACCUGGAGAGUGUCCGGAGCUCCCGGGAGCUAGAAGGCCUUCCCCCACCAGAGUGGAACCUCUGCCUGGAGGACUUCAGAAAGAGGACACAGGAGCCCCUGGUGUCCUGGGCAGAACGGUUGCCCAUGGUACCUCUGACCGGCCAGGUAGUGAUGGCACUCCCUGAGGAGAACCAGAGAGAAGAUGCCCUAAUCUGGCUCAACAAAGCGGCCCUGGAGCUGUGCCAGGAACCGCGGCCGUCGCAGUCCGACUUCCUGUACCAGAUGUGUUUGCAGCUGUGGCGAGAUGUGAUUGACAGCCUGGUAAGCCAUUCCCUGUGGCUGAGGGCUCUGCUGGACCUGCCUGAGAAGGAGACCAUCUACUUGCACGUGCCAGAAGAGCAAGAUCGAAAGUCACCUGCUGUCACAGAAGUGAAGGUGACUUCCGGGAGAGUGGGGAAGGAGGACCGGAAAGGGCCAUCUCAAGAAAAGAAGCAGUUGGGAAUCAAAGACAAAGAUGAGAAAAAAGGAGCCAAGCUGCCACCGGGGAAAGAGGCAGGACCGUUUAAACAGCAAGAAGCACAAAGCAAAGGAUGACAAGAAAUCAAUGAAAUCUACAAGUCGGGACAGGCUUUCCUCUGAAGACCCUGCCCCUGACAGCAUCAUCCCGUCUCAGGAACCCAUAGAUCCCCUGGUCAUGGAGAAAUACACCCAGAGGCUGCAUACUGAGGGGACAUGGGUUUGAUCCCUGGUCUGGGAAGAUCCCACAUGCCGCGAAGCAACUAAGCCCGUGUGCCACAACUACUGAGCCUGCACUCUGGAGCCCGUGAGCCACAACUACUGAGCCCAUGUGCCACGACUACUGAAGCCCACGUGCUCUAGGACCUGUGUGCUGCAGCUUCUGAGCCCGUGUGCUGCACCUACUGAAGCCUGUGCACCUAGAGCCCGUGCUCUGCAACAAGAGAAGCCACCGCAAUGAGAAGCCCAUGCACUGCAACGAAGAGUAGCCCCAGCUCGCUGCAGCUAGGGAAAGCCCAUGUGCAGCAACGAAGACCCAAAGCAGCAAAAAAACAAACAAACAAACAAAAAACUAUUUGCAAAAACAAAAGUCCUACAGAAAAUUUAGUUUUAUCUACACAACUUUAGUUGUCUCCCCUCUCCAGCUGUCCCUCUUGUGUAGGUGUGUCCAUCCAUCUCGCAGCAUGGGGGAUGCUCCCUUGUGCACGUGCUUUCCAGAGAGUGAACCUUUGCCUGUGAUGUUCAUCCCAUUCUUCCAGGUCUAUGGGCUGCUGGAUGCCCUGGUGACUGACUUGCUGGUCCUGGCUGAUGAGCUCAGCCCCAAAGAGAAUGUCAAGGAGCCUUUGCGUCUCUGCACCUGACUUGGGUGCCUGAGCUGCCUUCUGCGAAACUGCUUAACAAACAAAUCAAUAAAGAACCUUUAGGUUCCUACCACUUCCUUUAUGCCUCCAUGUCUUGAAUGUCAGAUCUUGAUGAAGUCAGCUCCUGGUCCUCCCAUAUCCC